GUCCCGGUGGCCUAACGGAUAAGGUAGCAGUUUCCGGAACUGUAGAUACGGGUUCGAUUCCUGUCCGGGACGCCA
rnacentral:tRNA from 1 species